rnacentral:rRNA from 1 species
GAAUGUUGGACAAUGGGCGAAAGCCUGAUCCAGCAAUGCCGCGUGCAGGAUGAAGGCCUUCGGGUUGUAAACUGCUUUUGUACGGAACGAAAAGCUUUGGGUUAAUACCCUGGAGUCAUGACGGUACCGGAAGAAUAGGAAACGGCCAACUAGGUGCAAGCAGCCGCGGUAAUACGUAGGGUGCAAGCGUUAAUCGGAAGUACUGGGCGUAAAGCGUGCGCAGGCGGUUUUGUAAGACAGGGGCGAAAUCCCCGGGCUAAACCUGGGAACUGCCUUUGUGACUGCAAGGCUAGAGUACGGCAGAGGGGGGUGGAAUUCCGCGUGUAGCAGUGAAAUGCGUAGAUAUGCGGAGGAACACCGAUGGCGAAGGCAACCCCCUGGGCCUGUACUGACGCUCAUGCACGAAAGCGUGGGGAGCAAACA